AAGAACGAGCACGAUGGCGCAGCCAUCCGCUGUGAGCGUGCGCGUACUGCCGAAAAGGAGACACAUUUGCCGCUUCCAAUGUCCAGUAGCCGCGCCUGUGAUGACGCAGUCCCCAGCACAAGCCGCGCGGGCAUGGAGGCAGCUGCGUUCGCUGGAAACAACUUGAGGGAUGCUACUGGCUCCACACAUAGGGGAAAACGCGACGAUAUCAGCGGCGUCUACAAUGACGUCAACCACGACACGAAAACAUCAGGGGAACGAAGCCACAAGUGCGAAGUAUGCGGCCA
rnacentral:lncRNA from 1 species